UAGCCCUUGAAGAGAAAAAGAUAAUGGUACCUUGCACAACACCUAGUUCGCCGUGGUUUGGCCGGAAACUGCCUCGAAAGCCUCGGAGGUCGCCGGAAACUAGGUAUUUUUCAAAUGAGUAUAACUUCUUCAAUACUCAACGAAAUUGAGUGAAACAAAAAGGAAAGUUGUAGUACUUGACGAGACGAAGAGAUUGAUACCUACCUCGACUCCUAACUCGCCGGGGAUUCGCCGGAAAAGCCUCGAAAGCUCCGGCCAAACUUUGAACUUGUCGAUCUCCGUGUUCUUACGUCCAAAAACUUCCAACGAAGCACUCCGAGCUUCCUUGGGACCUCACUAAGCUCGUUGUGAUCUUGUUUUAGCCUAAAUCGUAACCAUUUAAAAGAUGAUGAACAGUACCAUUUCACGGGAACUUUGAAACUAGGGUUUUCCGAAGCAAAACUUACCUGAAAUGGAUACCAUCGUGAUCGUGGAGGUUCCAGGAGUUUGAUGGUGGUCUUAACUCCGUCGUUGGUGGAAGUUUAAGGUUGUUUUGUGGUUGGUUUGUUCGAACGGAGAAGAAGAGUGACAGAGAGAGUGAGAGAGUCGUGAGGGAAGAGAGAGAGACAACAUGCAGAAAAUAGGGAGAUGAUUGAGGGGUGUGGGGAUCCCACGUGGUCCUUUUC
rnacentral:lncRNA from 1 species